CGAGCCCCGAGGGGAGAGCGGGAGGAGGGGAGGAGGGGCUCCGGGCGCCCCCGCGGAGAUGCCCCCGCGGCCCCGGCAGAGACCCCGCUGGGGCGGGGGUUUCCCGGCAGCCCCUGGGAAGGGCCCGGCCUGGAGCAGGGAAAGGCGUGAGGAGGCAGGAGCGGCAGAGAGGAGCUGCCGUGGGCUGACCGCAGACCCCCCAUUCCCCAUCCCCUUUCGGUGCUUGGAAAGAGGAGGUCAAGGAGUCGGGAGGGAAGGAGUGAAGAUCACUGCUUAAAAUUUUGGGAAGAUUCACUGGACUUUGGAUGGGGUCUUGAGUCUCAGAUCACAAACCAGUCUGAAGAACAUCCCCGCUAGAAGAACGGUUGUCUAGAAGCAAUAUUAGAAGAAACUUCAUCAAUAAUUCAGACAGCCUGAGUCUUGAGAAGUAAAAUCUGUCUGCCAGGCAAAUAGAAUCAGAAAUUUACCGGCAUCCAGACAGCUGAUUAAAAGAACCCUGGACUCUCACAGUAGAACUACAUCUGCUGAAUCAGCAAACUAUGGAAACAUAAGCUGUCAUCACAUGGGAAAAAAGGAAAAUCUGAGGAAGGUACUGCAGAUAUGUACCUCAUGGAAGAGCAGAAGAAGCCCAGUCUUAUUUCUGUGCCUGAACUUGGCAAGUACC